AGGAACCACUGGGAUCUUGUUAAGAUGCAGAUUGUGGUUCAGUAGUUCUGGAGGAGGAGGAGGAUUCUGCAUUUCUAUCAAGUUCCCAUGGGAGACUGAG
rnacentral:miRNA from 1 species